rnacentral:tRNA from 1 species
UACCAAAUGGCUGAAAGUAAGUAACGGUCUCUUAAACCGUAUAAUAAUAGGGUACGUCUAUUUUUGGUAA